UACGAACCGUCCAAACGUUAUUCGGAAUCACUGGGCUUAAAGAGUCCGUAGGCGGCUCAGAAAGUAGGGUGUGAAAUCCCACGGCUCAACCGUGGAACUGCGCUCUAAACUACUGAGCUUGAGGGAGCUAGAGGUAAGCGGAACUGAUGGUGGAGCGGUGAAAUGCGUUGAUAUCAUCAGGAACACCGGAGGCGAAGGCGGCUUACUGGGGCUUUUCUGACGCUGAGGGACGAAAGCUAGGGUAGCGAACGGG
rnacentral:rRNA from 1 species